UACGUAGGUGGCAAGCGUUGUCCGGAUUUAUUGGGUUUAAAGGGUGCGUAGGCGGUUCUUUAAGUCAGCGGUGAAAUAUGUCAGCUUAACUGGCAAGGUGCCAUUGAUACUGGAGAACUUGAGUACUGAUGAGGUAGGCGGAAUGGACGGUGUAGCGGUGAAAUGCUUAGAUAUCGUCCAGAACACCGAUAGCGAAGGCAGCUUACUAAGGAGUAACUGACGCUGAGGCACGAAAGUGUGGGGAUCAAACAGG
rnacentral:rRNA from 1 species